rnacentral:rRNA from 1 species
UACGUAGGGUGCGAGCGUUGUCCGGAAUUAUUGGGCGUAAAGAGCUUGUAGGCGGUUUGUCGCGUCUGCUGUGAAAAUCCGGGGCUCAACCUCGGGCCUGCAGUGGGUACGGGCAGACUGGAGUGCGGUAGGGGAGAAUGGAAUUCCUGGUGUAGCGGUGGAAUGCGCAGAUAUCAGGAGGAACACCGAUGGCGAAGGCAGUUCUCUGGGCCGUAACUGACGCUGAGGAGCGAAAGCAUGGGGAGCGAACAGG